CUACGGGCCGCUGCAGUGAGGAAUAUUGCACAAUGGGGGGAACCCUGAUGCAGCAACGCCGCGUGGAGGAUGACGCAUUUCGGUGUGUAAACUCCUUUUAUAUGUCAAGAAAAUGACGGUAGCAUAUGAAUAAGCACCGGCUAACUCCGUGCCAGGCAGCCGCGGUAAUACGGGAGGGGCAAGCGUUACUCGGAAUCACUGGGCGUAAAGGACGCGUAGGCGGGUUGGAAAGUCAGGUGUGAAAUCCUACAGCUUAACUGUAGAACUGCACUUGAAACUUCUAAUCUAGAGUAUGGGAGGGGGAGAUGGAAUUAGUGGUGUAGGGGUAAAAUCCGUAGAUAUCACUAGGAAUACCUAAAGCGAAGGCGAUCUCCUGGAACAUUACUGACGCUAAGGCGUGAAAGCGUGGGGAGCAAACAGGAUUAGAUACCCUGGUAGUC
rnacentral:rRNA from 1 species